rnacentral:rRNA from 1 species
GCCCUUCGGGGUGGAUGAGCGGCGAACGGGUGAGUAACACGUGGGUAAUCUGCCCUGCACUCUGGGAUAAGCCCGGGAAACUGGGUCUAAUACCGGAUAUGACCACCUUGGGCAUCUUGGGUGGUGGAAAGUUCCGGCGGUGCAGGAUGAACCCGCGGCCUAUCAGCUUGUUGGUGGGGUAAUGGCCUACCAAGGCGACGACGGGUAGCCGGCCUGAGAGGGCGACCGGCCACACUGGGACUGAGACACGGCCCAGACUCCUACGGGAGGCAGCAGUGGGGAAUAUUGCGCAAUGGGCGAAAGCCUGACGCAGCGACGCCGCGUGAGGGAUGACGGCCUUCGGGUUGUAAACCUCUUUCAGCAGGGACGAAGCGUAAGUGACGGUACCUGCAGAAGAAGCACCGGCCAACUACGUGC